AGCAAAGUAUUCAAUGUUCUUAUCCAGAGUGGUGCUCUAAGUGUGGGGUUUUGAAUGUUACUGACAUUGAAGGAUUAAAAAUAAAUUCGUCUAAGUGUCUGCAUUUUUACCAAUUAGACUAUCCCCUCGAGAUCCAUACCCCGUUGGGACUCUGAAAGAAGAGAAAAGGUGCUGCGAUCGAAGGAACACUAACAGUUUACUAUACCUCGAAUUCAUCAGAGACACUGCAGGCCAAAGGGUUACACAUUCCCUUAAAUAUUAUAGAAAAAUUCAUAACCAACUCAAGAGAACGAACCUCAACUGAGCUGGUAAUACAAGCAAUUCCCCCCUCUGUUAUAAACGUUUACCAUCCCUAUUUCCCCCUGAUCCUCUCUGCCGCAGUAGGGGGCUGAAUUGUGCUGCUUGUCUUUGUCAUUUUCCUCUCAGCGAAAAUAAGAUCACAUAAAUCCAAACCAGGAUUCAGCAUGCCAAAAAAUGUUCAACUCGAUGUUAUUCUAAACAAUUACAACCCACUUGCAACACCUCACGAAAACACAGAGCCAGAACACAUUCAGUCAAACAGGAAUUCUUAUAUUACCUUAAGAGUAUUCAAUGACCAGAACCAAAGGGUACCUGUCACAGACACUUUAAUUCA